AUAGCUCACUAGUCGAGUCGGCCUGCGCGGAAGAUGUAACGGGGCUAAAACUAUGUGCCGAAGCUGCGGAUGUAUACUUUGUAUACGUGGUAGGGGAGCGUUCUGUAAGCCGAUGAAGGUGUGUUGAGAAGCAUGCUGGAGGUAUCAGAAGUGCGAAUGCUGACGUGAGUAACGACAAAACGGGUGAAAAACCCGUUCGCCGAAAGACCAAGGGUUCCAGUCCAACGUUAAUCGGGGCUGGGUGAGUCGACCCCUAAGGCGAGGCCGAAAGGCGUAGUCGAUGGGAAAAUGGUUAAUAUUCCAUUACUUCUGUGUAAUGCGAUGAGAGGACGGAGAAGGCUAAAUCAGCCUGGCGUUGGUUGUCCAGGUGAAAGGAUGUAGGCAUGUAUCUUAGGCAAAUCCGGGGUACUCUAUGCUGAGAUCUGAUAGCAAGCUGUACUUGUACAGCGAAGUGGUUGAUGCCAUGCUUCCAGGAAAAGUCUCUAAGCUUCAGUUACACAGGAAUCGUACCCGAAACCGACACAGGUGGUCAGGUCGAGUAGACCAAGGCGCUUGAGAGAACUCUGCUGAAGGAACUAGGCAAAAUGGUACCGUAACUUCGGGAGAAGGUACGCUGUUGUUGGUGAUGGAACUCGCUUCCUGAGCUGACGACAGCCGCAGAAACCAGGCCGCUGCAACUGUUUAUUAAAAACAUAGCACUCUGCAAACACGAAAGUGGACGUAUAGGGUGUGAUGCCUGCCCGGUGCUGGAAGGUUAAUUGAUGGGGUUAGCGUAAGCGAAGCUCUUGAUCGAAGCCCCAGUAAACGGCGGCCGUAACUAUAACGGUCCUAAGGUAGCGAAAUUCCUUGUCGGGUAAGUUCCGACCUGCACGAAUGGCAUAAUGAUGGCGGCGCUGUCUCCAGCAGAGGCUCAGUGAAAUCGAAAUCGCUGUGAAGAUGCAGUGUACCCGCGGCUAGACGGAAAGACCCCGUGAACCUUUACUGCAGCUUGACACUGAACUUUGACCUUACUUGUGUAGGAUAGGUGGGAGGCUUUGAAGCUGGAACGCUAGUUCCAGUGGAGCCGUCCUUGAAAUACCACCCUGGUAAUGUUGAGGUUCUAACUCUGUCCCGUGAUCCGGGACGAGGACCGUGUCUGGUGGGUAGUUUGACUGGGGCGGUCUCCUCCUAAAGAGUAACGGAGGAGUACGAAGGUGCGCUCAGCGUGGUCGGAAAUCACGCGUAGAGUAUAAAGGCAAAAGCGCGCUUAACUGCGAGACCCACAAGUCGAGCAGGUACGAAAGUAGGUCUUAGUGAUCCGGUGGUUCUGUAUGGAAGGGCCAUCGCUCAACGGAUAAAAGGUACUCUGGGGAUAACAGGCUGAUACCGCCCAAGAGUUCAUAUCGACGGCGGUGUUUGGCACCUCGAUGUCGGCUCAUCUCAUCCUGGGGCUGAAGCAGGUCCCAAGGGUAUGGCUGUUCGCCAUUUAAAGAGGUACGCGAGCUGGGUUUAGAACGUCGUGAGACAGUUCGGUCCCUAUCUACCGUGGGCGCUGGAAAUUUGAGAGGAUCUGCUCCUAGUACGAGAGGACCAGAGUGGACGAACCUCUGGUGUACCGGUUGUGACGCCAGUCGCAUCGCCGGGUAGCUAUGUUCGGAAGGGAUAACCGCUGAAAGCAUCUAAGCGGGAAGCCUACCUCAAGAUAAGAUUUCCCUAGGACUUUAUGUCCUCUAAAGAGCCGUUCGAGACUAGGACGUUGAUAGGUUGGAUGUGGAAGCAUAGUGAUAUGUGAAGCUGACCAAUACUAAUUGCUCGUGAGGCUUGACUAU
rnacentral:rRNA from 1 species